GCAGCCGCCGCGGGAAUACGUAGGGUGCAAGCGUUAAUCGGAAUUACUGGGCGUAAAGCGUGCGCAGGCGGUUAUAUAAGACAGAUGUGAAAUCCCCGGGCUCAACCUGGGAACUGCAUUUGUGACUGUAUAGCUAGAGUACGGCAUAGGGGGAUGGAAUUCCGCGUGUAGCAGUGAAAUGCGUAGAUAUGCGGAGGAACACCGAUGGCGAAGGCAAUCCCCUGGGCCUGUACUGACGCUCAUGCACGAAAGCGUGGGGAGCAAACAGGAUUAGAUACCCCUGUAGUCCCUGUCUCUUAUAC
rnacentral:rRNA from 1 species